rnacentral:rRNA from 1 species
UACUAGAGUAGCACUCGCAUAUCAAUAAGCGGAGGAAAAGAAACUAACAAGGAUUCCCCUAGUAACGGCGAGUGAAGCGGGAAGAGCUCAAAUUUGAAAUCUUAAAGGGUUUCCCUUUACGAAUUGUAGUUUAAAGAAGUGUUUUCUGUUGAGGUUUUGGUAAAAGUUCUUUGGAAUAGGACAUCAUAGAGGGUGAGAAUCCCGUAUUUGACCUUUACUUUCAAACUUUGUGAUACACUUUCAAAGAGUCGGAUUGUUUGGGAAUGCAGUCCAAAAUGGGUGGUAAAUUUCAUCUAAAGCUAAAUAUUGGCGAGAGACCGAUAGCGAACAAGUACCGUGAGGGAAAGAUGAAAAGAACUUUGAAAAGAGAGUUAAACAGUACGUGAAAUUGUCAAAAGGGAAGCGUUUGACACCAGUGUUGUUUUUCUGAAAAUCAAUUAAAGAACUGUUUAUGCUAAGUUGUUUAGACUUUAUCAGCUAACUGUUUAGUUUUGAGCUUUUCUUUAAUGCACUUUUCAGUUAACAAGUCAACAUCAAUUUCUUUUGCUGUAAAAAAGCUUGAGGAAGGUGGCUUGAGAUUCGUCUUAAGUGUUUAUAGCCUCUUGCCUAUGCAGUCGGAGAGAUUGAGGUCUGCAGCGUAGAUCCUUCGGGGCUAUAUGCAUUUGUGCUAAGUUAUAGCAUUUUAUAGACAACUUGUUGACUAUGAUUUGUCUUGUAGCUUACUCGCUUAUGUUAUUUUACCUACGCUUAGGAUGUUGAGUAGCGACAUACGCAC